rnacentral:rRNA from 1 species
UACGAAGGGGGCUAGCGUUGCUCGGAAUCACUGGGCGUAAAGGGUGCGUAGGCGGGUCUUUUAAGUCAGGGGUGAAAUCCUGGAGCUCAACUCCAGAACUGCCUUUGAUACUGAAGAUCUUGAGUUCGGGAGAGGUGAGUGGAACUGCGAGUGUAGAGGUGAAAUUCGUAGAUAUUCGCAAGAACACCAGUGGCGAAGGCGGACUCACUGGCCCG